UGGGGGAUAUUGCACAAUGGGCGAAAGCCUGAUGCAGCGACGCCGCGUGGGGGAUGAAGGCCUUCGGGUUGUAAACUUCUUUUGCUCUGAACAAGGCGCACCAUGGGGUGUGUUGAGUGUAGGGGUUGAUUAGCGCCGGCUAACUACGUGCCAGCAGCCGCGGUAAUACGUAGGGCGCGAGCGUUGUCCGGAAUUAUUGGGCGUAAAGGGCUUGUAGGUGGCUGGUUGCGUCUGUCGUGAAAGCUCAUGGCUUAACUGUGGGUUUGCGGUGGGUACGGGCGGGCUUGAGUGCAGUAGGGGAGGCUGGAAUGCCUGGUGUAGCGGUGGAAUGCGCAGAUAUCAGGAGGAAUACCGGUGGCGAAGGCGGGUCUCUGGGCUGUUACUGACACUGAGGAGCGAAAGCAUGGGGAGCGAACAGG
rnacentral:rRNA from 1 species